rnacentral:other from 1 species
ACAUUCCUGGGGCGUUCGGCCUUUCAACCGUUUCUUUCCUUACUCUAUCAAUAAGGGAGCUCGAUCCCGAGCGGGUGCUGUCAAGCCGCCCAUCGGAAGACAAAGCCCGUGAGGAGAGCACCCACCUGGUUUUCGAAGGAAAGAACAUCCUAUCGGCGCAUCCGGGUUUGUC